UCUAAAACUAUUUCAGAAACAGCUGGCGAAAUUCCCUCGACCUUUCCAUUCUUUUUUCAUAGGGUUAAAUUCCCUCUCCCUAACUCUCAAAAUCUUAGGGCUAACUGAAUCAUUCUCUCUUUUCAUCAUCUUCCAUAUCGACUAAGCUGUCGCAUUACUUGAAAAGAGUGGUGGUGUUGGGAGGAGUUUCAGAAAUGGAUAGAUAGUGCGUGGUGGAUUUGGAGCACUCGUGAUUGGUUUUGAGGUUAUGGCUAGAUGGUUGCUCCUCCACUCUUGAAGAAAUAUUGGACUUCUCAUCUCCAAGGCUUGUGGAAGGUCCUCAAAGAUCCGAGGACAUAUGCACUUGAUACCACUUUAUGUUUUCUCUAUUGAUGUAAUAGACUUAGUAAAUCUUUUCUUAUGUACAUUUGUUCUAAAGACUAUUGUGUCUAAAGGGCUAAGGUCCCUAUUUGUAGAAUUUUGUUGUUAGAUGGUGAUUGUGAGUUUUGUUGAACUAUUAUUUAUAGAUUGUGAUUGUGA